rnacentral:rRNA from 1 species
GAUGAACGCUGGCGGCGUGCCUAAUACAUGCAAGUCGAGCGAACAGACGAGGAGCUUGCUCCUCCGACGUUAGCGGCGGACGGGUGAGUAACACGUGGAUAACCUACCUAUAAGACUGGGAUAACUUCGGGAAACCGGAGCUAAUACCGGAUAAUAUAUUGAACCGCAUGGUUCAAUAGUGAAAGACGGUUUUGCUGUCACUUAUAGAUGGAUCCGCGCCGCAUUAGCUAGUUGGUAAGGUAACGGCUUACCAAGGCGACGAUGCGUAGCCGACCUGAGAGGGUGAUCGGCCACACUGGAACUGAGACACGGUCCAGACUCCUACGGGAGGCAGCAGUAGGGAAUCUUCCGCAAUGGGCGAAAGCCUGACGGAGCAACGCCGCGUGAGUGAUGAAGGUCUUCGGAUCGUAAAACUCUGUUAUUAGGGAAGAACAAAUGUGUAAGUAACUAUGCACGUCUUGUCGGUACCUAAUCAGAAAGCCACGGCUAACUACGUG